rnacentral:tRNA from 1 species
GUGACAUAACGCAAAUAGGUUCGCGGCUUGAUUGUGAUUCGAGUGUUAGUCGGUUCGAUUCCGACAUGUCACA